ACGAAUGCAGCUGAAGUAGCUCCCCGUCAGGCUCAGGAGGCGUCGCGUCGGUCCUGCCGCGCUUCCCGGGAGCCCGUAGAAGGGCUCCGGGGGCCGGUCCGUCUGGGCCGCCGACCACUCUGCACUUCUGCGGGGAGCUGGCCAACAGCAGUUGCGCCUGGCCGAGGAGGGCGACGGGGCAGGUAGCUCCACGUUCUUCGCGGAGAACUUAUAGCCCGUCGUCACGGCGUUUAUUGGUCCGGGUGCGACUGAGGAGAGUUCUAGAUCUUGCGAGUCUUCGCACGGGCAGCGUGGGCCCUCUCUCUCCUCCCCACAAGGUUGGAAGGGGGGGCUGGGCCGCCUCCGUCCCGGUUGGGAGUCGGGGUAGCCACUGCGUGCAGUGUCUGCCGACGCAGUCUCGUCCGGGCGGGGGGUCGGUCACACCUCGCGCUGCAGUUGUUGGUGCCCG
rnacentral:rRNA from 1 species